rnacentral:rRNA from 1 species
AGCAAACGCUGGCGGCGUGCCUAAUACAUGCAAGUCGAACGAGGUAGCAAUACCUAGUGGCGCACGGGUGAGUAACACGUGGGUAAUCUGCCUUCGAGUGGGGGAUAACUAGUCGAAAGAUUAGCUAAUACCGCAUAAGACCACAGGAGCUUCGGCUCCAGAGGUCAAAGCAGCAAUGCGCUUGAAGAUGAGCCCGCGUCAGAUUAGCUAGUUGGUGAGGUAAUGGCUCACCAAGGCGAUGAUCUGUAGCUGGUCUGAGAGGAUGAUCAGCCACACUGGAACUGAGACACGGUCCAGACUCCGACGGGAGGCAGCAGUAGGGAAUAGUGCGCAAUGGGGGAAACCCUGACGCAGCGACGCCGCGUGAGUGAUGAAGGCCUUCGGGUCGUAAAGCUCUGUUGCAGGGGAAUAACACAAUGAAGGUACCCUGUGAGGAAGGAUCGGCUAACUUCGUGCCAGCCGCCGCGGUAACAC